rnacentral:rRNA from 1 species
UUCGGUGGCCAUAGCGAGGGAGUAACACCCGUUCCCAUUCCGAACACGGAAGUAAAGCCCCUCAGCGCCGACGGCACCGUUAUGGCGGCGGGCGGGAGAGCAGGAUGUCACUUUUG